rnacentral:ncRNA from 1 species
GUUUCACAAAGGCAAACUACAUCGAAAGAUUAGGGCGCAAAGCCAUGGGUCUAAAGCGCUUGAGCUUAUUAAUAGUGCAAUGAUUGCCAGGUUGCGGGA